rnacentral:rRNA from 1 species
AGAGUUUGAUCAUGGCUCAGGACGAACGUGGCGGAGUGCUUAACACAUGCAAGUCGAGCGGAGAUAGUUGAAGUUUCGGCGGAUACUAUUUUAGCGGCGGACGGGUGAGUAACGCGUGAGCAAUCUGUCCCAGACAGGGGGAUAACACUUGGAAACAGGUGCUAAUACCGCAUAAGACCACGAGAGGGCAUCCUCUUGAGGUAAAAGAUUUAUCGGUUUGGGGUGAGCUCGCGUCCCAUUAGAUAGUUGGUGAGGUAACGGCCCACCAAGUCGACGAUGGGUAGCCGACCUGAGAGGGUGAUCGGCCACAUUGGAACUGAGAAACGGUCCAGACUCCUACGGGAGGCAGCAGUGGGGAAUAUUGGGCAAUGGGCGCAAGCCUGACCCAGCAACGCCGCGUGAAGGAAGAAGGUUUUCGGAUUGUAAACUUCUGUCCUAAGUGACGAAGGAAGUGACGGUAGCUUAGGAGGAAGCCCCGGCUAACUACGUGCCAGCAGCCGCGGUAAUACGUAGGGGGCGAGCGUUGUCCGGAAUGACUGGGCGUAAAGGGCGUGUAGGCGGCCGAUUAAGUCUGAAGUGAAAGUCCUGCUUUCAAGGUGGGAAUUGCUUUGGAGACUGGUUGGCUUGAGUGCGGAAGAGGUAAGUGGAAUUCCCAGUGUAGCGGUGAAAUGCGUAGAGAUUGGGAGGAACACCAGUGGCGAAGGCGACUUACUGGGCCGUAACUGACGCUGAGGCGCGAAAGCGUGGGGAGCGAACAGGAUUAGAUACCCUGGUAGUCCACGCUA